AUGGCGGUGCAGCAGUGUACGGUGGCGCUCUUGGUGGCCGUCGCCCUCGUCUCGUACGCUGCCGAAGCUGGCUACGCCCCAGCCGGGCCACAGCCCAAGGCCACGACCGAGGAGCAGAAGCUAGCUGAGAAGGCCAACAACGCCUUCAAGGCGGCCGUGGCGGCCGCAGCCGCAGCCCCUCCAGAGGACAAGGGCAAGAUAUUCGUCAAGACCUUCGUGCAGAUCUUCGGCAGCUGGUCUCUUGAGGGGGUCACCGACACGUCCAGCACCAAAGCCAUUUUCAACUCCAGGGUCGGCUUCACUCUGGCAGGGGCCGCACUGAAAGCCCAGGGUGCCACCCCGGAGGCCAAGUAUGAAUCCUUCGUGGCCAUGUUCGACAAGUCGCUCUGCAUCAUCGUCGGCAUCAUGAAGGUCCACGCCGGCGAGGAAGUCAAGGGGCCGAUCCCUGCCGGCGAGCUCAAGGCCAUGGACCAGAUGGACGCCGCCUUCUGCACUGCAGCCACCACCGCCGACGCUGCCCCGAUAAAGGACAGGCCCGCCGUCUUCGACUCUGCCUUCAGCAAGGCCAUCAAGGAGACCACGGGCGAUGCAUACGAGGCCUACAAGUUUGUCCCCGCCCUCGAGUCCGCCAUCAAGAAGACCUACGCUGGGUUUAUUCCCGGGAGUCCCCAGGACAAGCGCACGCUCUUUGAGGCCACCCUGAGCGACACCAUCGUCUCCAUGGCCGCCACUCCCACCGCCGCCACUCCCACCGCCGCCGCUGCCGGUGGCUACAAAGUCUGA
rnacentral:rRNA from 1 species